rnacentral:rRNA from 1 species
GGGUUGUGAGGUUAAGCGACUAAGCGUACACGGUGGAUGCCCUGGCAGUCAGAGGCGAUGAAGGACGUGCUAAUCUGCGAUAAGCGCCGGUAAGGUGAUAUGAACCGUUAUAACCGGCGAUUUCCGAAUGGGGAAACCCAGUGUGAUUCGUCACACUAUCAUUAACUGAAUCCAUAGGUUAAUGAGGCGAACCGGGGGAACUGAAACAUCUAAGUACCCCGAGGAAAAGAAAUCAACCGAGAUUCCCCCAGUAGCGGCGAGCGAACGGGGAGGAGCCCAGAGCCUGAAUCAGCAUGUGUGUUAGUGGAAGCGUCUGGAAAGGCGCGCGAUACAGGGUGACAGCCCCGUACACAAAAGCGCAUGUGUUGUGAGCUCGAUGAGUAGGGCGGGACACGUGGUAUCCUGUCUGAAUAUGGGGGGACCAUCCUCCAAGGCUAAAUACUCCUGACUGACCGAUAGUGAACCAGUACCGUGAGGGAAAGGCGAAAAGAACCCCGGCGAGGGGAGUGAAAAAGAACCUGAAACCGUGUACGUACAAGCAGUGGGAGCACAGGUUUACCUGUGUGACUGCGUACCUUUUGUAUAAUGGGUCAGCGACUUAUAUUCUGUAGCAAGGUUAACCGUAUAGGGGAGCCGGAGGGAAACCGAGUCUUAAUUGGGCGUUAAGUUGCAGGGUAUAGACCCGAAACCCGGUGAUCUAGCCAUGGGCAGGUUGAAGGUUGGGUAACACUAACUGGAGGACCGAACCGACUAAUGUUGAAAAAUUAGCGGAUGACCUGUGGCUGGGGGUGAAAGGCCAAUCAAACCGGGAGAUAGCUGGUUCUCCCCGAAAGCUAUUUAGGUAGCGCCUCGUGAAUUCAUCUCCGGGGGUAGAGCACUGUUUCGGCUAGGGGGCCAUCCCGGCUUACCAACCCGAUGCAAACUGCGAAUACCGGAGAAUGUUAUCACGGGAGACACACGGCGGGUGCUAACGUCCGUCGUGAAGAGGGAAACAACCCAGACCGCCAGCUAAGGUCCCAAAGUCAUGGUUAAGUGGGAAACGAUGUGGGAAGGCCCAGACAGCCAGGAUGUUGGCUUAGAAGCAGCCAUCAUUUAAAGAAAGCGUAAUAGCUCACUGGUCGAGUCGGCCUGCGCGGAAGAUGUAACGGGGCUAAACCAUGCACCGAAGCUGCGGCAGCGACACUGUGUGUUGUUGGGUAGGGGAGCGUUCUGUAAGCCUGUGAAGGUGGCCUGUGAGGGUUGCUGGAGGUAUCAGAAGUGCGAAUGCUGACAUAAGUAACGAUAAAGCGGGUGAAAAGCCCGCUCGCCGGAAGACCAAGGGUUCCUGUCCAACGUUAAUCGGGGCAGGGUGAGUCGACCCCUAAGGCGAGGCCGAAAGGCGUAGUCGAUGGGAAACGGGUUAAUAUUCCCGUACUUGGUGUUACUGCGAAGGGGGGACGGAGAAGGCUAUGUUGGCCGGGCGACGGUUGUCCCGGUUUAAGCGUGUAGGUGUGUGUUCCAGGUAAAUCCGGUUCACUUUAACACUGAGGCGUGAUGACGAGGCACUACGGUGCUGAAGCAACAAAUGCCCUGCUUCCAGGAAAAGCCUCUAAGCAUCAGGUAACAUCAAAUCGUACCCCAAACCGACACAGGUGGUCAGGUAGAGAAUACCAAGGCGCUUGAGAGAACUCGGGUGAAGGAACUAGGCAAAAUGGUGCCGUAACUUCGGGAGAAGGCACGCUGACAUGUAGGUGAAGUGAUUUACUCAUGGAGCUGAAGUCAGUCGAAGAUACCAGCUGGCUGCAACUGUUUAUUAAAAACACAGCACUGUGCAAACACGAAAGUGGACGUAUACGGUGUGACGCCUGCCCGGUGCCGGAAGGUUAAUUGAUGGGGUCAGCGCAAGCGAAGCUCCUGAUCGAAGCCCCGGUAAACGGCGGCCGUAACUAUAACGGUCCUAAGGUAGCGAAAUUCCUUGUCGGGUAAGUUCCGACCUGCACGAAUGGCGUAAUGAUGGCCAGGCUGUCUCCACCCGAGACUCAGUGAAAUUGAACUCGCUGUGAAGAUGCAGUGUACCCGCGGCAAGACGGAAAGACCCCGUGAACCUUUACUAUAGCUUGACACUGAACAUUGAGCCUUGAUGUGUAGGAUAGGUGGGAGGCUUUGAAGCGUGGACGCCAGUCUGCGUGGAGCCGGCCUUGAAAUACCACCCUUUAAUGUUUGAUGUUCUAACGUGGACCCGUGAUCCGGGUUGCGGACAGUGUCUGGUGGGUAGUUUGACUGGGGCGGUCUCCUCCUAAAGAGUAACGGAGGAGCACGAAGGUUGGCUAAUCCUGGUCGGACAUCAGGAGGUUAGUGCAAUGGCAUAAGCCAGCUUGACUGCGAGCGUGACGGCGCGAGCAGGUGCGAAAGCAGGUCAUAGUGAUCCGGUGGUUCUGAAUGGAAGGGCCAUCGCUCAACGGAUAAAAGGUACUCCGGGGAUAACAGGCUGAUACCGCCCAAGAGUUCAUAUCGACGGCGGUGUUUGGCACCUCGAUGUCGGCUCAUCACAUCCUGGGGCUGAAGUAGGUCCCAAGGGUAUGGCUGUUCGCCAUUUAAAGUGGUACGCGAGCUGGGUUUAGAACGUCGUGAGACAGUUCGGUCCCUAUCUGCCGUGGGCGCUGGAGAACUGAGGGGGGCUGCUCCUAGUACGAGAGGACCGGAGUGGACGCAUCACUGGUGUUCGGGUUGUCAUGCCAAUGGCACUGCCCGGUAGCUAAAUGCGGAAGAGAUAAGUGCUGAAAGCAUCUAAGCACGAAACUUGCCCCGAGAUGAGUUCUCCCUGAGACUUAAAGUCUCCUGAAGGAACGUUGAAGACGACGACGUUGAUAGGCCGGGUGUGUAAGCGCAGCGAUGCGUUGAGCUAACCGGUACUAAUGAACCGUGAGGCUUAACCUUACAACGCCGAAG